GGUGGGUUUCCCGAGCGGUCAAAGGGGCCAGACUGUAAAUCUGGUGGCUUAGCCUUCGCAGGUUCGAAUCCUGCACCCACCA
rnacentral:tRNA from 1 species